AACCCUUGCCUUUAGUUGCCAUCAUUCAGUUGGGCACUCUAGAGGGACUGCCGGUGUCAAACCGGAGGAAGGUGGGGAUGACGUCAAGUCCUCAUGGCCUUUAUGCCCAGGGCUACACACGUGCUACAAUGGCCGGUACAGACGGAGGCGAAGCCGCGAGGCGGAGCAAAUCCGAAAAAGACCGGUCUCAGUUCGGAUUGCAGGCUGCAAUUCGCCUGCAUGAAGUCGGAAUCGCUAGUAAUCGCAGGUCAGCAUACUGCGGUGAAUACGUUCCCGGGCCUU
rnacentral:rRNA from 1 species